rnacentral:sRNA from 1 species
UUCUGAAAAUAGCUUGCAUUCUCAAUUUAAUGAGUAUAAUCAGGCCGUCGUUAGGUUUCGAGUUGGUAGUGCGGUCAUCUCGCUGUCAUUCCUCCCGAGUAACGAUAAAGAGCCGGGCAUAGAAGCCCCAAUCAAUUAAAUUUUGGAGUCUGUAAUGGCACAAGGUACCGUCAAGUGGUUCAACGAUGCAAAAGGUUUUGGUUUUAUCACUCCUGAUGAAGGCGGCGAAGAUCUGUUCGCUCACUUCUCGGCAAUCCAGUCGAACGGUUUCAAGUCGUUGAAAGAAAACCAACGCGUGACUUUCGAAGUCACUACUGGCCCAAAGGGCAAGCAAGCUUCGAACAUCCAAGCUGCGUAAGUCUUCCGACUUAAAAAAAAUCCCCGGCCAUGGCCGGGGAUUUUUUU